CCUACGGGGAGCAGCAGUGGGGAAUAUUGCACAAUGGGGGAAACCCUGAUGCAGCAACGCCGCGUGAGUGAAGAAGUAUUUCGGUAUGUAAAGCUCUAUCAGCAGGGAAGAGAAUGACGGUACCUGACUAAGAAGCCCCGGCUAACUACGUGCCAGCAGCCGCGGGAACACGUAGGGGGCGAGCGUUAUUCGGAUUUACUGGGGGUAAAGGGAGCGUAGACGGUUCUGCACGUCUGAAGUGAAAGGCCGGGGCUUAACCGCGGAACGGCUUUGGAAACUGGGGAACUGGAGUGCUGGAGAGGCAGACGGAAUUCCUAGUGUAGCGGUGAAAUGCGUAGAUAUUAGGAGGAACACCAGUGGCGAAGGCGGUCUGCUGGACAGCAACUGACGCUGAGGCGCGAAAGCGUGGGGAGCAAACAGGAUUAGAUACCCGGGUAGUC
rnacentral:rRNA from 1 species